AGGUGCGAUCAUAUCAGCACUAAUGCAUCGGAUCCCAUCAGAACUCCGUAGUCAAGUGUGCUUGGGCGAGAGUAGUACUAGGAUGGGUGACCUCCUGGGAAGUCCUCGUGUUGCACUUCUUU
rnacentral:rRNA from 1 species